rnacentral:rRNA from 1 species
CGAGGGGCAGCAUGAUAAGUAGCAAUACUUAUUGAUGGCGACCGGCGCACGGGUGAGUAACGCGUAUGCAACUUACCUAUCAGAGGGGGAUAGCCCGGCGAAAGUCGGAUUAAUACUCCAUAAAACAGGGGUUCCGCAUGGGACUAUUUGUUAAAGAUUCAUCGCUGAUAGAUAGGCAUGCGUUCCAUUAGGCAGUUGGCGGGGUAACGGCCCACCAAACCGACGAUGGAUAGGGGUUCUGAGAGGAAGGUCCCCCACAUUGGUACUGAGACACGGACCAAACUCCUACGGGAGGCAGCAGUGAGGAAUAUUGGUCAAUGGCCGAGAGGCUGAACCAGCCAAGUCGCGUGAAGGAUGAAGGAUCUAUGGUUUGUAAACUUCUUUUAUAGGGGAAUAAAGUGUGGGACGUGUCCCAUUUUGUAUGUACCCUAUGAAUAAGCAUCGGCUAACUCCGUGCCAGCAGCCGCGGUAAUACGGAGGAUGCGAGCGUUAUCCGGAUUUAUUGGGUUUAAAGGGUGCGUAGGUGGUAAUUUAAGUCAGCGGUGAAAGUUUGUGGCUCAACCAUAAAAUUGCCGUUGAAACUGGGUUACUUGAGUGUGUUUGAGGUAGGCGGAAUGCGUGGUGUAGCGGUGAAAUGCAUAGAUAUCACGCAGAACUCCAAUUGCGAAGGCAGCUUACUAAACCAUAACUGACACUGAAGCACGAAAGCGUGGGUAUCAAACAGGAUUAGAUACCCUGGUAGUCCACGCAGUAAACGAUGAUUACUAGGAGUUUGCGAUACACAGUAAGCUCUACAGCGAAAGCGUUAAGUAAUCCACCUGGGGAGUACGCCGGCAACGGUGAAACUCAAAGGAAUUGACGGGGGCCCGCACAAGCGGAGGAACAUGUGGUUUAAUUCGAUGAUACGCGAGGAACCUUACCCGGGUUUGAACGUAGUCAGACCGGCCUUGAAAGAGGUCUUCUAGCAAUAGC